UAAAAAGGCUGAAAAGCCGCAACCUUCAAAAAAGGACCCCGUUAUUCUCGUCUUCUUCUCCUAGAUAUAUAGGAGCAUGCAGAGAUCAACCAUCUUCACCAUACAAGUUCGAUCUUCUUCUUGAGCCAAAGGGAUAGAAUUCCCCAUGGCUUUUUCUUCUUCUAAGACAAUCAAAACCAAACAAUCCUCCAUUCGUCAUCUUAUUCUUCAUUUCUGAAUACACACACACAGCUACAAUCAGGGAGCCUUUCUUCUUCACCUCAUAGCUUUGCCACCAUCUUCUUCACGCCUCAAAAACAGCCGCUAGCCAUCAUUAAAGCUUCCAUGUCCGACCAUUGUUUUUACUUCGCCGUUCAGAUUCCUGGCGAGAUCCGAAUCGAGUAAGCAGAAGACAAAAGGAAAAAACCAAAUCGAGAGAACACGACAGUGAUGAUAUUCAGUCCAAAAAUAGAACCAUGAAAUUCCAAUAUAACUCAGCUCCAGAUCUUGCGUCCUUAACGCUCGAAACCAGCCGGUUAAGUUUGUCUUUCUGGUUCAGUCUGAGCUUUCCGUCAAGCUUUUAGGUCAUCGAAUGGUCGUUAUCUAGAGGAGCUCUAUUUCAGUCGUGCGUUGAGGGACCGUCUGUUUGGUUUUCGGUUUGAAUUUCGCCCGGGGUUCUAAUGGUCGAGGUCUCCGGUGCUGGUUCUGCUCGUUGUCGCCGGACUGGUAUGUACCUUUGGUCAAUUUUUACCUUUGUUGUCAGGUUUAGAAGUACUACUCCUCAUGUUUAAUGAACCAUUUUGUUAAUUUUCCUGCUUGGAUUAGUUAGCUUAUUCUCUUCAAUUUAAUGAUAAUCUAAGUUUAAUGUUUUAUUUAUUUGCUAUGGAUUGUCCUAAUAGUAUUUGGUGUAUCAAAAAUGGGUCUGCUGACAUAUCGUUUGUUUUAGUUUAAAUCUGUUUUGGAUAAAUUUUGAUAGUUAGAAGUGAGUAGAAUAUCAUUCAGUAGGCGUGAAAUAUGAAUUGCAAGUUGUCGAGCUAAAGGGCAGUGACUAUUGUCAUUUCUUGUUUAUCAUUGAUGCAGUCAUAAACUUCAAGAAAAUAUUUCUUUCCAUUGAUCGUUUCUAUACUAUAUAUAUAUAUAUAUAUAUAUAUAAGGGAAGUAGUAAGUAUAGUGUGAAUAUGGCCCUCAAUUAAUUGAAUUUCCAUGGCCCUUGUAAACUUGAAAGUGCGGAGUUGCUUUAGGCACGUUAUUUUAAUAAUUUAUCUUCCUAAACUCGGGUGCACAUUUAUGUGACCCAAAUCCAAAUCUCAACAGCGUUAGAUAAAUUGUGUUGCGGACUGCGGGUGCAUUUAUGUGACGUGGUUCAAAACGCAUUUUAUGUGACGUUGAAAUCUUCCUAAAAAUUAAUUAAUUAAAAGCGGUUUAAAGUUAAAAAUGUGCAUAGGUUUAAAAGUGUACUAAAAUCAGAUAAUAAUCCAAUUAUAACAGUUGAGCGACCGUGCUAGAACCACGGAAUCUGGGAAUGCCUAACACCUUCUCCCGGGUUAACCGAAUUCCUUACCCGGAUUUCUGUGUUCGCGGACUGUAAUACAGAGUCAAUCUUUUCCUCGAUUCGCGAUUUGAACCGGUGACUUGGGACACCAUAAAAUUAUCCCAAGUGGCGAUUCUGAAUUUAAUAAAUAAAUAAUCCCGUGUCGAUUGUCACUUUAAGUUGGAAAAACUCCCAUUUACACCCCUUUACUCGGGUGUAGGAAAAAAGAAGGUGUGACAGCUCUAGCGACUCUGCUGGGAAACCGAACCCAGAAUCUCUGGUUCAGUGUUCAGAAUUCGAGCUUAGAUGAAUUGUUGUAUUUGGUUUUAUCUAUUAUCUGAUUUUAUUACAUGUUUGGGCCUAAUGUGCUAAAUGUUGCUUUUACCGCUUUGAUGUUAUUUGAACUGUAUAUAAACUGCUAUGAAACCCUUCUCUUCUCAUCUUCGGGGAUGUGCUCGCUUGUUGAGACUCCUUAUUCUGUUAGUGUCAUACCUUGAAAUAAGAAAGAGGCUCGGACAAGUUACUAAGCCGGAUGGCCUUUUAGUUCCCGGUACGUAGCCCCAUCCUUGGCUCGAGUUGUCCGCUUGGGUACACAAUCUAGAACACAUACCCAGGUUUUGAACCUAGAGUAACUCAGCCUUAUGUCGGAUCCCUAGUAGGAAUACUUGCUUGCAUCACGUGCAUCUGAAUUUGGGGACUCAACACAGAGGUUGGGUCCGUCUAGGACAAGUGUACCCAAAAUAACAGGUCAUCUUGAUGCAUCCUAUGUGCUACAUGUUGCAUUUCUUCAAGGGUAAAAAGGGACAUUUAGCGGACCAAUGAUAGUUGAGGGCAAAUGAAAAAGAAAAAGAAAAAGAAAAAAGGUUGAAGUAUGAAGAUAAAGCGAGUGGGUCCCGAUUAUGUUUUCGUUCACAUUCUUGUUUAAAAAAAGAGCUUGAAAAUUCAAAAAAAAAAGAUAUUUUGCAUUUUUCAUCAUUUUCCGUAAAUCAAAAAAUCAAAAACAAAAUCCAAAAAGAAGUUACAUGUAUCAUCAUUUUUUUUAAAAAAAAAAAGACAAAAAAUAUGUUUUCUCUAAAUUAGUUAUUUUUUUUAAUUCUCGCCCGUAUCCAAAUUGCCCGAACUACGUAUACCUGAUUCUCGUCUUCCGGGGCGUGAUACGUAGGCAACCCACAUAGGGUCCGGUCUUCCUAGUAAAUCUUAGGUUCUUGGUUUUGUGGGGUCUUAGCCAAAUUUUGCACUUCUAGUCAUCUUUUGGACAAAUAAGUUAUUUUGCAAAAAUAGCCUAAAUCAUGUCUUGCAUGUUUCCAACAGUAAGGGUUAUUGUCUCACAUAGCGCUCUAGGUCUUUAACCUAUUUGGUUUUAAUUUUCUUAUACAGGCGUGGAUUUACUUAUCGGAGUUUGAGCAGGACAGAACCCCAGGACAUCUAGUCAGGAUCGCUCAUUUAGGAGUGGAUUAAAAGAAAAUUUUUUUUUCUUUUUAUGUUUUGAGUCUGUUAUUUUAUUUUAUGUCGUCUUUUAUCUUUUAGUUUUGUAUAGUAAUGUCGAGUUUUAUUAUUAUCAUUGUACUUUCUAUUUUGCAUUUGAAAGGGUGUGUAAUGAAUCAAAAA
rnacentral:lncRNA from 1 species